UUGCUGAGUUCGCGAAUGGCAUACAAAGGAGAGUCAGCAGUUGUCUGCUGUCUAAAUGAAAACAUCUCCAACGGAAUUUCGCUUGUGACGGCUUUGAUGACGUCAUGCCUCCCCCUUUCUACUUCCCAUAAAAACCGUACUCUCCCCUCUCCUCUCCUUUUCCUUUUAUUUAUUAACCGUUCCUUCUCGCACCUCCCAGAAAAACAGACAAUACAAGAAAUCAUGGGCUCCUGUUUCUCUUGUUCAGUCUUCAGCGAAUCUGACCUUCUCCCUCCCGCUGCCAACGUCGUAUCUAUCAAUGGUACUCUCCGCCAAUACAACGUUCCUGUCAUCGCCUCUCAAGUUCUCGACGCUGAAGCUGCAUCCUCUUCUUCAUCCUCUUCAACUUCUUUCUUUCUCUGCAAUUCUGAUUUCUUGUCCUACGAUGAUCUCAUUCCUGCCUUGGAUUCCGACGCUCAGCUGUACGCCAACCAGUUGUAUUUUAUUCUUCCGAAAUCUAAGCUCCAAAACAGGCUCACAGCUCCUGAUAUGGCUGCUUUGGCUGUCAAAGCUAGCGUAGCCCUUCAAAACGCGUCUAAAAAUGAAGCUCAUCGCCGCAAGAAGGCCAGGAUUUCUCCUGUUUUAUUAGUCAAUCAAUCCUCCUCGCAACGGCAUCUCCUCAACCCUACGAGUGGCGACGCUUAUCCUCGUAAGACUUUUCAGAAAGCUAAAGGAGAACAGCCUCCCGUGGGAAUGGGCUUUUCUAGAUCUGGAUCUGUUAGAAGACUACACAGGUACCAAUAUGUAAAGGCAUUGACAAAGAAGAAAGUCUGGGGCGGAGCACACAAGAGAAAGGCAGGAGACAUAUGAAAAGUAAGCAACUCUAACUCUAAAUUACAAUCAAUCCUUACGUUUGUUAUAACUAAAUGUGAAUUCCUUAAAACUUGAGUCAGUCAUAAAAACAGGAUGGUUAGAGGAGACAAACUGCGGCGGGUGUCUCAAAACCUCUUUCUCAAGUCAAAUUGUAGACUUUCUCUUUUCAUAACUUAUAAUCAAAACAGCCCGCUACCGUCCAACCCUUUAUUUUAUAUUUUCCAAUGCCUCUGGUUUUCUUUUUUUGGCCUCAGUCAAAGUCAAUUUUUUUAAUUUGUGUUCUCGCGUUAUUGGGUUGUAUUUUAAUGUUUAUGGAUGAAACGUACUUAUCCGACAAUGUCCGUACCCAAUCCCAAUAUUGAUUACCUAAUUAAUUUUUUUUUUAUUUUACCUGCUGCUGCAUCACUCACUCUCUAAUUUAUAUUUUGUGCAAUCAUAAGUAUAAAAAUAAUUUAUAUUUUUUGUCAAGCCAAGAAAUUAUGUAAAUGAAUUGUGUAUUUUAAUGUUUAUUAUUUAAAUUGGAUUUAAUUGAUAUAGUGAAAUCAAUUUAAAAUUAAAAUACUUAUAAUAUAAUAAUAAUAGUUAAAUUUUUAUAAAUUAAAAUAUUUUAAUAACAAAUUAUCUAUUUUAUUUAAAGAAAAAUGUAAACGAGUGAGACCAAAAUGUGAAUUUGGUUAUGCUUUUUUUGUAUAAUUGCGGUUAGCAAGUUAUUAUGGUUCUUUCCUUUUCGGAUUGAUUAUUAGAUAAACGGGCAGAAACAAAUCUUAAAAAAGUCAAGCAUGUGAUGUUCGUUGGCGGUCAAUAACAUAUGUCUAAAUUGUAAUCUACUCAUGUCUUAGUCUUUUUUAAAAAGAAAUUUAGAUUAACAAACACGCAUGCCUCUUCUUUUCUUUAAAUUUUGUUGGGCUUACUUUCUGAAAUUUCAUUUUUCUUUUGAUCUUGUAAACCGCAAAAAGGCCUGGUGCUAGGAGGGUGGAACCAGGAGAUUGUUUUCUAGGGCCCAAUCCAAUUUAAAUGGCCGAACAGACUUCUGUCUGAAAUAGUGACGAUACUUGCCACCUGAUGUUGAAAAUAAAGAGUAAUUCCCUGUUAUUACGUGAACAUACUACUGAGAAUGGACGUGGGUGUAUGCAUUAAGAGUGAAGGAAGACAUGAAUUGAUUAGGAGUGCUUCCAAUUGGUAAUGGCAUGUGGUUUUUACGUUGCCUUAUAAAGAUACAAAGUGGAGUGUUGGGGGGAUGCACAGAGAUUGACAUUGAAGGUGCAAUAUAUGUAUAUAAGGCAGUGUUAGUGUUGUGUUUGAAAUUGUUAAUGAAUAAGAGUGUUUGCCACUAAUUGUUGGUUGGUUAA